UUCUUUACCCCGUCUUGAAACACGGACCAAGGAGUCUAACAUCUAUGCGAGUGUUUGGGUGUCAAGCCCGAACGCGUAAUGAAAGUGAACGGAGGUGAGAACCGCAAGGUGCAUCAUCGACCGAUCCUGAUGUCUUCGGAUGGAUUUGAGUAAGAGCAUAACUGUUGGGACCCGAAAGAUGGUGAACUAUGCUUGAGUAGGGCGAAGCCAGGGGAAACUCUGGUGGAGGUCCGCAGCGAUUCUAACGUGCAAAUUGAUCGUCGAACUUGGGUAUAGGGGCGAAAGACUAAUCGAACCAUCUAGUAGCUGGUUCCUCCCGAAAUUUCCCUUAGGAUAGCUGCAACCGAACAGUUUUAUCAGGUAAAGCGAAUGAUUAGAGGAAUCGGGGGCGCUUUGUCCUCGACCUAUUCUCAAACUUUAAAUGGGUAAGAUCCAGUGGUUACUUAGCUGAACUUCUGGGAUAAAUGCCAACUCUAAGUGGGCCAUUUUUGGUAAGCAGAACUGGCGAUGAGGGAUGAACCUAACGUUGAGUUAAGGUGUUUAACUGCUCGCUCAUCAGAUACCAUAAAGGGUGUUGGUUCAUUUUAACAGCAGGACGGUGGUCAUGGAAGUCGAAAUCCGCUAAGGAGUGUGUAACAACUCACCUGCCGA
rnacentral:rRNA from 1 species